rnacentral:rRNA from 1 species
AGUAAAGGCCAAAUCAAGCUGAAAGCAUUGGUUCUCAUUUGAUCACCAAAGUUAAGCAAAGUUGAGCCCUGUUUGUAUUUAGAUGGAUGACUGCUUUGGAAACCUAGGUACCACAAGCA